rnacentral:rRNA from 1 species
AGUGAACGCUGGCGGUAGGCCUAACACAUGCAAGUCGAACGGCAGCACAGUAAGAGCUUGCUCUUACGGGUGGCGAGUGGCGGACGGGUGAGGAAUACAUCGGAAUCUACUUUUUCGUGGGGGAUAACGUAGGGAAACUUACGCUAAUACCGCAUACGACCUACGGGUGAAAGCAGGGGAUCUUCGGACCUUGCGCGAUUGAAUGAGCCGAUGUCGGAUUAGCUAGUUGGCGGGGUAAAGGCCCACCAAGGCGACGAUCCGUAGCUGGUCUGAGAGGAUGAUCAGCCACACUGGAACUGAGACACGGUCCAGACUCCUACGGGAGGCAGCAGGUGGGAAUAUUGGACAAUGGGCGCAAGCCUGAUCCAGCCAUACCGCGUGGGUGAAGAAGGCCUUCGGGUUGUAAAGCCCUUUUGUUGGGAAAAAAAAGCAGCAGGUUAAUACCCCGCUGUUCUGACGGUACCCAAAGAAUAAGCACCGGCUAACUUCGUG